rnacentral:piRNA from 1 species
UUGCUCUGAAGAGACCAUGAUGACAGC